UAAAGGGCUCAUAUCAUGCAAAAUCCACUUUUUAGACAUUUUGGAGCGUUCCUAUGACUCUAUGGGUCACAUAUACACAAACUGAGCACGGUAGAAAUGCAUUUCCUGCUUUUUUCACAUUUUGAAAACGUAAAUUUUCUCACCCAAUGAAAACAGACCACGACCUACUCUGAGACCGUGUCCCAUGUGUUGUCACACUGGUUGAAAAUUCUCCCUGCAAAUCCUGAACCACCACCCCCACAAUGAUCCCGAACCAAAACUGGACUUCCGCCAUUUCCCCCCUCUCACUCACCGUGAACAGACGAGCACGGCAGCGCCCAAGUCCUCCCAUAGAAAUAGUUCGGUUGUUGGGUGUUCUAACCAACACCAAAGUCUAUUCACUUUAACAAGGGAUCAACAAGUGAGGAUUUGUGGGUCACUUUUAUUUUUAACGGACCGGUGCCAGAAACACUGCCUCAGCAUUUAUACGUAUGUGCAUUUCAAACGAGGGUGCGUACAAUGCUGGAUUUGUUUCACGGCUCCUGUUGGAAAAAAAGGAUCCAUUCCUACAGUCCGUCAUCCACUCACUGCAUACCUUUUUGUUUCGAUGAGGUGAUGGUGAGGACAGCCACAGCUUCCAUCUGGUAGAGGACUGCUUCCGCUCAGUCUUCCAAAUAGUGAUGAGAACAAGGAUCACCACAUCUCCCUGUUUACCCUACUUUCAUGCAUUUCGUCUGCAAGGCCCUGCAAAAGCUUCUGUCCUCAAACCCCCAGACUUCUUAAUUAACUCAGUAACCUAUACAUUGCACAUUGGAGUGUGAAGGUAACAGUUUGUUCUAGCUUUGGAGUAGUGGUGUAUUUUUUUGGUUUACAAUAAAGUUGGCUUUAACUAUUA